GUCUAGGAUUUUAAACUUUCACUACAAGAUGAAUUUGACAGAUCUUCCUGUAGGGAACUGUAGUAUGUAGCACUUCUACUUUGGUAUUUGGUAGGAUGAGACUUGAUCAUGCAGUUAAUUUGAGCUGAGUCUCUGAAUGCACAUGUGAAGGCCUUGGUCUUUUUAAAGUGUGGGGGCAGUAUGUAUUGUGUGAUGGCAUGUGGAUUGUUAUACCUAGUUUGGUUUCUUUAAAAUUGAAACAUACAGUUGCCAUUUCUACCCUAGGUACAUGAAGUGUAAUACUCCUCUAAGCCUAUUGGGAUACUGCAAGAUGAAAAGUGAUUGCUUCACAGUUUAGACAUUGGGAGGAAAAUCAAGAGCUGUCUUUUAGAGGAUGUAGCAGGCAGUAUAACUGUAAAAGGGACACUGCAUCUCUGUGUAAAAUAAUUUGAAAUUAUAGAAAAUAUUAGUACUUAGUAAUAAUUAUAUUUAGCUACCUAAUUGAAAUGCGUUUCUGGUGCACUUUUUGUGUCAUUAUCUCCAUUACUUACUUAAACUUAACAUUAUGUAAUCUGGAUUUAGAAGUUGAUGUAUAUACAUGGUCUGUAUUCU
rnacentral:lncRNA from 1 species